rnacentral:lncRNA from 1 species
UUUUGUAGCCACACUUGACAACCACUUACAUCAGAAAAAUUACACCAGAAUACACAGAGGCCAGGAAUGGACAACUGAAAACCCAGUGUACUGGGAAGCCUUAUUUUAAAUUGUACCCACCUGGAAUUCCUGGGGCUUUUUGAAAUGUCUGGACAGGCUCAAGAGGAAGAUUGUGGCAAUGAACACUGCCUGUCAGCUGUGUGAAGAAGAGAGAGACCUUGUAAACAGUGAAAUCACAUUCUACACUUUGAAGAGUCUCAAGGCACUUGAAUAUGGCUAGGCUGGG